GCCUUGUACACACCGCCCGUCACACCACGAGAGUUUGUAACACCCGAAGUCGGUGGGGUAACCUUUUGGAGCCAGCCGCCUAAGGUGGGACAGAUGAUUGGGGUGAAGUCGUAACAAGGUAGCCGUAUCGGAAGGUGCGGCUGGAUCACCUCCUUUCUAUGGAG
rnacentral:rRNA from 1 species